UGGGGAAUUUUGGACAAUGGGCGAAAGCCUGAUCCAGCAAUGCCGCGUGUGUGAAGAAGGCCUUCGGGUUGUAAAGCACUUUUGUCCGGAAAGAAAUCCUUGGCUCUAAUACAGUCGGGGGAUGACGGUACCGGAAGAAUAAGCACCGGCUAACUACGUGCCAGCAGCCGCGGUAAUACGUAGGGUGCAAGCGUUAAUCGGAAUUACUGGGCGUAAAGCGUGCGCAGGCGGUUUGCUAAGACCGAUGUGAAAUCCCCGGGCUCAACCUGGGAACUGCAUUGGUGACUGGCAGGCUAGAGUAUGGCAGAGGGGGGUAGAAUUCCACGUGUAGCAGUGAAAUGCGUAGAGAUGUGGAGGAAUACCGAUGGCGAAGGCAGCCCCCUGGGCCAAUACUGACGCUCAUGCACGAAAGCGUGGGGAGCAAACAGGAUUAGAUACCCUGGUAGUCCACGCCCUAAACGAUGUCAACUAGUUGUGGGGAUUCAUUCUUAGUAACGUAGCUAACGCGUGAAGUUGACCGCCUGGGGAGUACGGUCGCAAGAUUAAAACUCAAAUGAAUUGACGGGGUCAUAGCUGUUUCCU
rnacentral:rRNA from 1 species